AUGCGGCUUGGGCUCAACCUCAUCCUGUGGCUACUUUCUUUGGUAGUUCUGCACGUACUUGGCCUAGGUUUCUACUAUAUUGAUGCCCCCGUUGGUCGAGAAGAUAAUUGGCUCAACUUCAAGAUUUGCGGUCUGGUAGGGGUAGUAAAAGGUGAAGUCACUGAAGCAGAGUUGCAUAAAAACCUUUCUGGAAUUUUAUGUAAAAACAAACAGUGGCCAUGGCAGAUUAGAGCUGUUUUAGAAAAGUCUCUCUUGGUCAGAUUCCCGCCAUGGAAAAAUGUGGAUAAACUUAUUGAAUUCACUGCGUUUGAUAUGUCAAUUACUGGAGUGUAUGUAUCUGUAGAACAGUGGACUAGUGCUAUCAAUCCGUUCAAUGAGCUGGUUGAAGCAUUUGUGGGGAUUUCAGGACUCUCCCCCAAAUGGUGCACAUGGAAAGUGUUCUCUUGGAUUGCCUCAUGUUUUGGCAUAUUGGUUGACGUAGAUUGGAAUGGUCUGAUGAAAAGUUUCUAUGACAAGGUGAGGAUCAAGAUUGCCUGCAUAAAUCCAACAAUAAUCCCCUUUGAAAGAAUGAUGGAGAUGAGGAAAAAGCUUUACAUCCUGUCAUUUACUAUUGAAGGUUUUGAUCAAGUGGGGGCUGAUGAUCCCAAUGACGAUGAUGGACCUACUGAGAUAACAGUCGAUGAGGAUGAAAAAAAUCUAGAUGGGGAAAACACUGAAAAAGAUUUGCUAGGUGAUGAGGAGGAGGAAUUUGGUGAAUUGGAGAGUGCCAUCGAGCCAGUACUUCCAAAAAAUCCCAGUUCCAUCAAGAAAACUUCGAUUGAAGAGCCUCUUUGCUAUGACCCUACAUGUCUCUUGGCAGCUUGUUUCCCUCCAGAAGGAAAUGAAGAUGAAGAUAAAGCACUGCAGAAGACUGAUUGCAUGGUUGAGGCAUAUGCCCCUAUUCCAUUUUGUCGAGGCCAUGCGACUGUUGGCGGAGUCUGA
rnacentral:rRNA from 1 species